CCUACGGGAGGCAGCAGUGGGGGAUAUUGCACAAUGGGGGGAACCCUGAUGCAGCGACGCCGCGUGGGUGAAGGAGUAUUUCGGUAUGUAAAGCUCUAUCGGCAGGGAAGAAAUUGGACGGUACCUGACUAAGAAGCCCCGGCUAACUACGUGCAAGCAGCGGCGGUAAUACGUAGGGGGCAAGCGUUAUCCGGAUUCACUGGGUGUAAAGGGAGCGUAGACGGGCAUGCAAGCCAGGGGUGAAAGCCCGGGGCCCAACCCCGGGACUGCCUUGGGAACUGCAAGGCUGGAGUGCGGGAGGGGCAGGCGGAAUUCCUGGUGUAGCGGUGAAAUGCGUAGAUAUCAGGAGGAACACCGGCGGCGAAGGCGGCCUGCUGGACCGCGACUGACGUUGAGGCUCGAAAGCGUGGGGAGCGAACAGGAUUAGAUACCCCAGUAGUC
rnacentral:rRNA from 1 species